AAACUACUCUAGGACGUGGUUGGAUAAACGCAUGUUGUUCAGCAGAGGCCGUUAACCUUUAAAGCGCUGAUACGUUUUGGUUUAUUUCAAUUUUUUUAACCCGAAUUGCUGUCUUUUUAAGAAGUCUCUGAAAUCGUCUCCCUUGACAGGGCAAGCAAAACGUGCCUUAAAUCUCCAUCUCGUGGAAGAUCUGCUUGGCUGGCAGCUGAUGUGUGUUGCUGUUGGGUUUUAAGGAACAUCUCUGUGUUGUACUUCUUUUGUUGUUUAGCUUUGAUUUAGUAUUUUUUUCCUUUUUCUCUUUGUUUUAUUUGAUUGGUUGUUUUUGGUCUUUUGCAUUUGGUUUUUCAAAGAGCUUUGGCAAACACCAGAGCCAUCAAGGCCAGGGCAGGCCCUCUCUCCUCCUUCUCUUACUGAUGCUCUUGACCUGAGUUCCUUGAGUGCUCCUCUGCGAUCUGCCAAGGUGCAAAAUUUGCAAAAUUAUCUCCUGCCUUUAAUCCCAGCUUUCUCCCACCUGUGGGAUGCUCCCUCCAGUUCUGUCUGGCAGCAAUGAGCUCUCCUGAGCAGCUCCAAAGGUGGGGAGGACUGGGGGAAGAAGGAGAGCAGGAGUGCACACAAAUUCACUUUUUCCUGCAGAAAGGCAGAGUGGCAAGAGAGA
rnacentral:lncRNA from 1 species